GAGUUUGAUCAUGGCUCACACCCCAACGCUGGCGGCAGGCCUAACACAUGCAAGUCGAACGAGAAGCGUGCCUUCGGGUGCGUGGAAAGUGGCAGACGGGUGAGUAACGCGUGGGGACGUACCCUUUGGUUCGGAACAACUCCGGGAAACUGGAGCUAAUACCGGAUGUGCCCUUCGGGGGAAAGAUUUAUCGCCAAAGGAUCGGCCCGCGUCGGAUUAGCUUGUUGGUGGGGUAACGGCCUACCAAGGCUAUGAUCCGUAGCUGGUCUGAGAGGAUGAUCAGCCACACUGGGACUGAGACACGGCCCAGACUCCUACGGGAGGCAGCAGUGGGGAAUAUUGGACAAUGGGCGCAAGCCUGAUCCAGCCAUGCCGCGUGAGUGAUGAAGGCCCUAGGGUUGUAAAGCUCUUUCGCCAGGGACGAUAAUGACGGUACCUGGAUAAGAAGCCCCGGCUAACUUCGUGCCAGCAGCCGCGGUAAUACGAAAGGGGGCUAGCGUUGUUCCGGAAUUACUGGGCGUA
rnacentral:rRNA from 1 species